rnacentral:lncRNA from 1 species
GGUAAAAUUCUGGCACCUAUCCACAGCCUGAACCUUGGAGAACACCUCCCUUUCAUAUGACUUCUGCAAAGGGCGUGUUUCAGCUCACAGGGACAAAGAGUCACUGCACCAGAGAACCAGAAAGAGUUACAGACACGGCUCACAGGCUUAAGCGUCUUGCUGUAGGUCAUACGGCAGGUUAAUGACAACACUGGGGCAAGAACACAGGUUACGCUCGUCCUGGGGAAGGCUCCCACACCAAGCUACACACUUCUGCAAUGCUGUUCCAGAUGUGAAAAUCCGCUAAGACAAAUAGGUCACAAAAACACCAUGGGAAACGAUGAUGUCUUUUCCUUUUUGUUAUCUUGAUAAAGCUUCAUACAUGUCUGGAUUCUGAUUGAUACACAAAAGCUGCAUUCCCACAUCAAGGGAACUCCGAGUGUUCACCCUCCGUGGUAAGGGGAGACUGGGAGACCCCACAAAAGCAUCCCAAGAGAGGAAGAGUCCCUUUACACACCUGCUGCCCCGUGUGUGGAUGCCCACUGAGCACGGAAGUUGUCAAGGACAAAAGGAGGAACUAGCCCACCAAGCAGGUUUAAAGGGAGUGUCGGACACAAAAAUGACAUGCCCCAUAUUGCAGUCUAGAAGGAACAACACGGUGAAUUGUCUACUGCAGAACACUUCACUCUGUCUCGAUUACUACAUGGUGAAUUGAAGUUCCAGUAGAGAGGGAGUUGAGCUGAUACUGAGGAGAUAAAUACCCAUCACUGUAUACAUCUACUUCUUGGAAUUUGCAAGGGAACCAGUCAACAGAUUUUUCAAGCCUUAUAAGUUUAUCUGCCUGAGAAGUUCACCAGCUACAUAACAUCCUGGACUCUGGAGCCCAAGAGAUGUGUAGUUUCCAUUUUGGAGCCAUUUUCUUUGAUAAAUAAGUAGUGAGGCUGCCAUUCUUGUCAAAGUUGAGGACCACAACCUUACUCAUGAAACUGAAAGAUUGUUUGUUAUGAGGAGUUCUGUUUGAGCCAUACAAGCAAUAUAUCCUUUUUAAAGAAAUGUAUCCGGAAUCUUAGGUGUUCAUUGCUCCAAGCCAUGUGCAGAAUAAAAAGAAAACAAAAAACAAAAA